AUCGAACGCUGGCGGCAUGCUUAACACAUGCAAGUCGAGCGAGCGGCGGAUGGGUGAGUAAUGUCUGGGCCACUGCCUGAUGGAGGGGGAUAACUACUGGAAACGGUAGCUAAUACUGCAUACCAUCAGAUGUGCCCAUAUGGGAGUCGCUAGUAGGUGGGGUAAUGGCUCACCUAGGCGACGAUCCCUAGCUGGUCUGAGAGGAUGACCAGCCACACUGGAACUGAGACACGGUCCAGGGUCCUACGGGAGGCAGCAGUGGGGAAUAGUGCACAAUGGGCGCAAGCCUGAUGCAGCCAUGCCGCGUGUGUGAAGAAGGCCUUCGGGUUGUAAAGAACUUUCAGCGAGGAGGCGUUACUCGCAGAAGAAGCACCGGCUAACUCCGUGCCAGCAGCCGCGGUAAUAC
rnacentral:rRNA from 1 species